rnacentral:lncRNA from 1 species
UGGUACCAGAAGUGGAUAAUUACUUGGCUUGGAUCCAGUGAGAUGCCUCUUACAACUGACUGAAUCAGAAAGAAACUGGUGGUAAAUGGUAAUAUUACAGGGGGUGUAAGAUUUGACUUUUAAAAAUUCACGGGGAUGUUUGCGUUCUACCCCUUUGUUUCAUUUUUCUUAUAUGCUCAGGUAGCAAAAAAAAAAAAAAUCAUUGACUGAGUUAAUCAAGGGCACCUGAGAGUAAAGCCAAUAUUUUAGGUAAAGGUGGGAUCCUUAAUUUCUGGAAAACUGAGCUCCUUCCAACUUACACGUUAAACACAGAAAACAGCAUAGUCUUACAGAAAUGAUGAAAUCUUACUAAAGGUAACUUACAGUGGAACAUUCUGAAUGAACCACGACAGACUGAAGUACAUUUAAAAAUGAGGACUCCCAAAAAUUAAAAUCUGCUAACCUUUUAACUUAGUUACUAUCCCCAUCUAAAGGAAAUAGACUGCAGCACCAACUGACUGACUUUGAAUAAGUAAUGGGGUACAUUUUACCCGAGUAAAGAAUGGCACUGGGUUAGAGGCCCUCCGCUCAGUAAAGUCCCUUUUGGUUAAAAAUGGGUUAAAGAUGACAGAGCCUUGCCAGUUUAAUAUUUGAUGCCUCCAUGCAGCCACUUGGGUGGCAACUUGCAAAAUUGAGAGGCUUUUGCCUGUGGUUCCAUGAGACAGAAAAAAUAUUAUUUUCCUUUGUGUUGCAGCUUGGCCCCCAGGGCCGUGGUGCAGCCAGCAGGUCACUAGGGCCACUUGGGGAAAGGGAACCCGGAAGCCCGACAUGUCAGCAAAAGAGUAAAAAUUUCUUACCAGUCAGACUGCUGCCUCUCUCUCCCUGUACAAACUGGUUGAAUGAAUGAUAAAAAUCAUUAUCUCCUGUGAAGUUUUGAUUAAUGAAAAAAGGAUUUAUGAGGCUACUCUUGAACUAUAGCCAAUCUGUUGAUGUCGUCUCACAUGAGGUGAGAAAAUAAAUGGACUCCUCCCGCUCCCCGCCCCCUUUCUGGCUCCCAGUUCAGCUAAGCCAUAAAACUUCUUUUCAGACAACUUAAACGUGUGUAAGAUAUUUGCAGUGUCUGAGGUUGCCUUGUUUGGUGCUGUACUUGGCUGCUCUCAGAACCCGUUCCAGAGGCCAGGUGAAUGAAUGGUGAAUAGACUCCAGUGUUCUGGAGGGAGGUAGGGGGACAGGGAAAUGGCUGAUCAUGAACAACGCCC